CCUACGGGUGGCAGCAGUGAGGAAUAUUGGUCAAUGGGCUUACGCCUGAACCAGCCAAGUCGCGUGAGGGAAGACUGCCCUAUGGGUUGUAAACCUCUUUUGUCAGGGAGCAACGCCGGCUACGUGUAGCCGGACUGAGAGUACCUGAAGAAAAAGCAUCGGCUAACUCCGUGCCAGCAGCCGCGGUAAUACGGAGGAUGCGAGCGUUAUCCGGAUUUAUUGGGUUUAAAGGGUGCGUAGGCGGAAUGCCAAGUCAGCGGUAAAAUCGCGGGGCUCAACCUCGCUCCGCCGUUGAAACUGGCGUUCUUGAGUGGGCGAGAAGUAUGCGGAAUGCGUGGUGUAGCGGUGAAAUGCAUAGAUAUCACGCAGAACACCGAUUGCGAAGGCAUCUCACGAAUCCGCGAUUGACGCUGAUGCACGAAAGCGUGGGUAUCAAACAGGAUUAGAUACCCUUGUAGUC
rnacentral:rRNA from 1 species